rnacentral:rRNA from 1 species
UACGAGGGGUGCAAGCGUUGCUCGGAAUUAUUGGGCGUAAAGGGUAGGUAGGUGGUCUCGUUUGUCGGGGGUGAAAGCCUUGGGCUUAACUCAAGAAGUGCCCCCGAAACGGCGAGACUAGAGUCCUGGAGAGGUAAGUGGAAUUCCCGGUGUAGCGGUGAAAUGCGUAGAGAUCGGGAGGAACACCAGUGGCGAAGGCGGCUACCUGGACCAGCACUGACACUGAGGCACGAAAGCGUGGGGAGCAAACAGG